rnacentral:rRNA from 1 species
UGUGUGGCAUACGGCUCAGUAACACGUAGUCAACAUGCCCAGGGGACGUGGAUAACCUCGGGAAACUGAGGAUAAACCGCGAUAGGUCACUACUUCUGGAAUGGGUAAUGACCCAAACCUAUAUGGCCCCUGGAUUGGACUGCGGCCGAUCAGGCUGUUGGUGAGGUAAUGGCCCACCAAACCUGUAACCGGUACGGGCUCUGAGAGGAGGAGCCCGGAGAUGGGCACUGAGACAAGGGCCCAGGCCCUAUGGGGCGCAGCAGGCGCGAAACCUCUGCAAUAGGCGAAAGCUUGACAGGGUUACUCUGAGUGAUUUCCGUUAAGGAGAUCUUUUGGCACCUCUAAAAAUGGUGCAGAAUAAGGGGUGGGCAAGUCUGGUGUCAGCCGCCGCGGUAAUACCAGCACCCCGAGUGGUCGGGACGUUUAUUGGGCCUAAAGCAUCCGUAGCCGGUUCUACAAGUCUUCCGUUAAAUCCACCUGCUCAACAGAUGGGCUGCGGAAGAUACUAUGGAGCUAGGAGGCGGGAGAGGCAAGCGGUACUCGAUGGGUAGGGGUAAAAUCCGUUGAUCCAUUGAAGACCACCAGUGGCGAAGGCGGCUUGCCAGAACGCGCUCGACGGUGAGGGAUGAAAGCUGGGGGAGCAAACCGGAUUAGAUACCCGGGUAGUCCCAGCUGUAAAC